GAUCCUGGCUCAGAUUGAACGCUGGCGGCAGGCUUAACACAUGCAAGUCGAGCGGAGAGAGGUAGCUUGCUACUGAACUUAGCGGCGGACGGGUGAGUAAAGCUUAGGAAUCUGCCUAUUAGUGGGGGACAACGUUUCGAAAGGAACGCUAAUACCGCAUACGUCCUACGGGAGAAAGCAGGGGAUCACUUGUGACCUUGCGCUAAUAGAUGAGCCUAAGUCGGAUUAGCUAGUUGGUGGGGUAAAGG
rnacentral:rRNA from 1 species